GAGAGUUUGAUCCUGGCUCAGGACGAACGCUGGCGGCGCGCCUAACACAUGCAAGUCGAACGAGCGAGAGAGAGCUUGCUUUCUCGAGCGAGUGGCGAACGGGUGAGUAACGCGUGAGGAACCUGCCUCAAAGAGGGGGACAACAGUUGGAAACGACUGCUAAUACCGCAUAAGCCCACGGGUCGGCAUCGACCAGAGGGAAAAGGAGCAAUCCGCUUUGAGAUGGCCUCGCGUCCGAUUAGCUAGUUGGUGAGGUAACGGCCCACCAAGGCAACGAUCGGUAGCCGGACUGAGAGGUUGAACGCCCACAUUGGGACUGAGACACGGCCCAGACUCCUACGGGAGGCAGCAGUGGGGAAUAUUGCACAAUGGGGGAAACCCUGAUGCAGCGACGCCGCGUGGAGGAAGAAGGUCUUCGGAUUGUAAACUCCUGUUGUUGAGGAAGAUAAUGACGGUACUCAACAAGGAAGUGACGGCUAACUACGUGCCAGCAGCCGCGGUAAAACGUAGGUCACAAGCGUUGUCCGGAAUUACUGGGUGUAAAGGGAGCGCAGGCGGGAAGACAAGUUGGAAGUGAAAUCUAUGGGCUCAACCCAUAAACUGCUUUCAAAACUGUUUUUCUUGAGUAGUGCAGAGGUAGGCGGAAUUCCCGGUGUAGCGGUGGAAUGCGUAGAUAUCGGGAGGAACACCAGUGGCGAAGGCGGCCUACUGGGCACCAACUGACGCUGAGGCUCGAAAGUGUGGGUAGCAAACAGGAUUAGAUACCCUGGUAGUCCACACCGUAAACGAUGAUUACUAGGUGUUGGAGGAUUGACCCCUUCAGUGCCGCAGUUAACACAAUAAGUAAUCCACCUGGGGAGUACGACCGCAAGGUUGAAACUCAAAGGAAUUGACGGGGGCCCGCACAAGCAGUGGAGUAUGUGGUUUAAUUCGACGCAACGCGAAGAACCUUACCAAGUCUUGACAUCCUGCGACGGACAUAGAAAUAUGUAUUUCCUUCGGGACGCAGAGACGGGUGGUGCAUGGUUGUCGUCAGCUCGUGUCGUGAGAUGUUGGGUUAAGUCCCGCAACGAGCGCAACCCUUACUGUCAGUUACUACGCAAGAGGACUCUGGCAGGACUGCCGUUGACAAAACGGAGGAAG
rnacentral:rRNA from 1 species